UUUAAACGAAGCAGACUUUUUGCAUUUAACUGUUAAUUAUUUGGAAACCUUUUUAAGGUCGUUUAAAU
rnacentral:tRNA from 1 species